rnacentral:rRNA from 1 species
AUUGAACGCUGGCGGCAUGCCUUACACAUGCAAGUCGAACGGCAGCACGGGAGCAAUCCUGGUGGCGAGUGGCGAACGGGUGAGUAAUAUAUCGGAACGUGCCCAGUCGUGGGGAUAACGUAGCGAAAGCUACGCUAAUACCGCAUACGAUCUACGGAUGAAAGCGGGGGGAUCGCAAGACCUCGCGCGAUUGGAGCGGCCGAUAUCAGAUUAGGUAGUUGGUGAGGUAAAGGCUCACCAAGCCGACGAUCUGUAGCUGGUCUGAGAGGACGACCAGCCACACUGGGACUGAGACACGGCCCAGACUCCUACGGGAGGCAGCAGUGGGGAAUUUUGGACAAUGGGCGCAAGCCUGAUCCAGCAAUGCCGCGUGCAGGAUGAAGGCCUCGG